GGGGGCUAAUACAURCAGUCGAACRCACAGCGAAAGGUGCUUGCACCUUUCAAGUGAGUGGCGAACGGGUGAGUAACACGUGGACAACCUGCCUCAAGGCUGGGGAUAACAUUUGGAAACAGAUGCUAAUACCGAAUAAAACUUAGUGUCGCMUGACAUAAAGUUAAAAGGCGCUUYGGCGUCACCUAGAGAUGGAUCCGCGGUGCMUUAGUUAGUUGGUGGGGUAAAGGCCUACCAAGACAAUGAUGCAUAGCCGAGUUGAGAGAMUGAUCGGCCACAUUGGGAMUGAGACACGGCCCAAACUCCUACGGGAGGCUGCAGUAGGGAAUCUUCCACAAUGGGCGAAAGCCUGAUGGAGCAACGCCGCGUGUGUGAUGAAGGCUUUCGGGUCGUAAAGCACUGUUGUAUGGGAAGAACAGCUAGAAUAGGAAAUGAUUUUAGUUUGACGGUACCAUACCAGAAAGGGACGGCUAAAUACGUGCCAGCAGCCGCGGUAAUACGUAUGUCCCGAGCGUUAUCCGGAUUUAUUGGGCGUAAAGCGAGCGCAGACGGUUUAUUAAGUCUGAUGUGAAAGCCCGGAGCUCAACUCCGGAAUGGCAUUGGAAACUGGUUAACUUGAGUGCAGUAGAGGUAAGUGGAACUCCAUGUGUAGCGGUGGAAUGCGUAGAUAUAUGGAAGAACACCAGUGGCGAAGGCGGCUUACUGGACUGCAACUGACGUUGAGGCUCGAAAGUGUGGGUAGCAAACAGGAUUAGAUACCCUGGUAGUCCACACCGUAAACGAUGAACACUAGGUGUUAGGAGGUUUCCGCCUCUUAGUGCCGAAGCUAACGCAUUAAGUGUUCCGCCUGGGGAGUACGACCGCAAGGUUGAAACUCAAAGGAAUUGACGGGGACCCGCACAAGCGGUGGAGCAUGUGGUUUAAUUCGAAGCAACGCGAAGAACCUUACCAGGUCUUGACAUCCUUUGAAGCUUUUAGAGAUAGAAGUGUUCUCUUCGGAGAACAAAGUGACAGGKGGUGCAUGGUCGUCGUCAGCUCGKGUCCGGKGAGAUGUUGGGUUAAGUCCCGCAACGAGCGCAACCCUUAUUGUUAGUUGCCACGCWUUCCAGAUGGGGCACUCUAGCGAGAMUGCCGGKGAMAAACCGGAAGGAAGGGSGGGGACRACGUCCAGAUCAUYAUGSCCCUUAUGACAACUGGGGCUAACACACGUGSUAMAAUGGGSGUAWACAACGAGGUUGCCCAMCCCSCGAGGGGKGASCUAAUCCUCUUAAAGWACCKUCUCAKUUCGGAAUUGUAGUUCYGCMACYCSMCUCMCAUGGAAGYCGGAAAUCGCUUAGWAAUCCGCGGAAUCAGCACGCCGCGGKGAAAWAYKUUCCSGGGUCUUGUACACACCGCCCSYCMCACCAUGGGGAGUUUKUWWUGCCCAAASCCGGUGGCCYMWCUYUUUUAGRAAGGAGCCSUYUAGGGSAGAAA
rnacentral:rRNA from 1 species